rnacentral:rRNA from 1 species
GAUGAACGCUGGCGGCGUGCCUAAUACAUGCAAGUCGAGCGAACAGACGAGGAGCUUGCUCCUCUGACGUUAGCGGCUGACGGGUGAGUAACACGUGGAUAACCUACCUAUAAGACUUGGAUAACUUCGUGAAACCGUAGCUAAUACCGGAUAAUAUAUUGAACCGCAUGGUUCAAUAGUGAAAGACGGUUUUGCUGUCACUUAUAGAUGGAUCCGCGCUGCAUUAGCUAGUUGGUAAGGUAACGGCUUACCAAGGCAACGAUGCGUAGCCGACCUGAGAGGGUGAUCGGCCACACUGGAACUGAGACACGGUCCAGACUCCUACGGGAGGCAGCAGUAGGGAAUCUUCCGCAAUGGGCGAAAGCUUGACGGAGCAACGCCGCGUGAGUGAUGAAGGUCUUCGGAUCGUAAAACUCUGUUAUUAGGGAAGAACAAAUGUGUAAGUAAAUAUGCACGUCUUGACGGUACCUAAUCAGAAAGCCACGGCUAACUACGUG